rnacentral:rRNA from 1 species
AUGGCGGACGCGAAGCAGCAGCAGGCCGCGGCGCCCACCGGCGUCUGGAAGACGAUCAAGCCAUUCGUCAAUGGCGGUGCCUCCGGGAUGCUCGCCACCUGCGUCAUCCAGCCCAUCGACAUGAUCAAGGUGAAGAUCCAGUUGGGUGAGGGAUCUGCAGCUCAGGUCGCAAAGACCAUGUAUGCUAAUGAGGGCCUUGGUUCCUUUUACAAGGGUUUGUCAGCUGGUUUACUAAGGCAAGCGACCUAUACGACAGCUCGUCUUGGAUCCUUCAGGGUUUUGACAAACAAAGCAAUUGAGGCAAAUGAUGGGAAGCCAUUGCCACUUGUUCAGAAAGCUUUUAUUGGUCUGACUGCUGGAGCGAUUGGCGCAUGUGUGGGCAGUCCUGCUGAUUUGGCACUCAUUAGGAUGCAAGCUGACUCGACCCUACCAGCAGCACAGCGGCGUCACUACAAGAAUGCAUUCCAUGCACUCUACCGUAUCACCGCUGAUGAAGGCGUCCUUGCGCUUUGGAAGGGUGCAGGCCCAACUGUGGUGAGAGCCAUGUCACUGAAUAUGGGUAUGCUUGCGUCCUAUGAUCAAAGUGUUGAGCUGUUCAGAGACAAAUUGGGUGCCGGAGAAUAUCAGACUGUUAUUGGAGCCAGUGCCAUUUCUGGAUUCUGUGCGGCUGCUUGCAGUCUGCCCUUUGAUUACGUGAAAACACAAAUUCAGAAGAUGCAACCUGAUGCCACUGGCAAGUACCCAUACACUGGGUCUUUGGACUGCGCCAUGCAAACCUUGAAGACCGGUGGCCCAUUUAAAUUCUACUCCGGCUUCCCUGUAUAUUGUGUCAGGAUCGCCCCGCAUGUCAUGAUGACGUGGCUCUUCUUGAAUCAAAUCCAGAAGUACCAGAAGAAGAUCGGCAUAUAA